GUCCGGGCCAAUUUGGGAUGGGGUCUAAUGUGCCGCAGUCACGCUGCAGGCCAGGUUAUUUUCGCCGACUUUAAUGGCGAUUAAUCACACUACUUUGGCCUGGACGCACUUGCAUUGGCACAAAGGCAACUAAGGAAAUGAAAACACUUUUGGAUUAAUGACGUACGCGAAGUAGCAGUGUUUAUUAACUUCUUGUGCUGCAGGGUAUGCAGCGGUCCGUAGAACCGGUUUUUUGUCGAGGUAGGUGCAUGGUAAUGUCAGCUUAAUACCGUUAUCGUAGGUGCGGCAAACACGUCGCUGCGGCUGCGACUGCGCCGUCAACUGCGGCAGCGCCUCAGCUUGAUAAUGAGCCGUUAGGACGGACAGCAGAAGGAGAAGAAGACGCAAAAGCUUCCGCAAUGCAAAACAGCUGAGCAAGAACGAGAAGGAGCGAUUGUGCAAGGCGAAAUGCAAAACUGAUAAGAAAAGUCCGUUUAAGUCGCUCCAAAUAUGUGUAUGUAUGCGUGCGUAUGAGACACGGAAAUUCGGUGAAAUUAUACAUAAUAUUCGCACGUGGUUUAGUACACGCCAUUCAGAGGAGAAAGAGAAGACAUAUAUGUAUGCAUGUGUGUGUGAGCGCUGCAGAAGGAGAGAGGGAGUGCAGGCGAAUGCAAAAUCAAAGUGCUGCCUACGUGAGCGACACCUUGCGAUUAAAAGACAAAAAAAGGUACCAAAUAAAGAUCGAAACAACUAAUACCCUAUCGGCAAACAA
rnacentral:sRNA from 1 species